GACGAACGCUGGCGGCGCGCUUAACACAUGCAAGUCGAGCGAGAACCAGGACUUCGGUCCUGGGGACAGCGGCGAACGGGUGAGUAACACGUUGGUAAUCUGCCCUCGAUUCUGGGAUAGCCCGGGGAAACCCGGAUUAAUACCGGAUAGCCUCUCGAGCUCCCGGGCUCGUGAGAAAAGGUAGCUUCGGCCUCCGAGCGAGGAUGAGCCCGCGGCGGAUUAGCUUGUUGGUGGGGUAAUGGCCCACCAAGGCGACGAUCUGUAGCUGGUCUGAGAGGACGAUCAGACACACUGGGACUGAGACACGGCCCAGACUCCUACGGGAGGCAGCAGUGGGGAAUAUUGGACAAUGGGCGAAAGCCUGAUCCAGCCAUGCCGCGUGUGUGAAGAAGGUCUUCGGAUUGUAAAGCACUUUAAGUCGGGAGGAAGGGCUGUAGGUUAAUACCCUGCGGUUUUGACGUUACCGACAGAAUAAGCACCGGCUAACUUCGUGCCAGCAGCCGCCGUAACAC
rnacentral:rRNA from 1 species